AUAAUGUGGUAAAUUGAAUUUUAUUGCAAAAUCAUUUUUUUAGCGGAGACACCAUACGAGAAUUUAAAGCGAAAGUGUAUUUCUUUUUGGUCGAUAUGUUCCGUUGGUUACUCACCUGUUACGUAACGUCAAUGAUGUUAUUACUCAAAGAAGUGAAAGUAGUUCCUCAGAUUUAUAGCUGAUUAUUCUCAUAAAUUCAUGAUGUGAAUGAUGUUUAUGUUAAAUUCAUAGUUUUCAUUAUACUUUUCAUUUAUACUGAAUCUAGUGAUAUGUCAUAAAUAUCUGUGAUGUUGUGGAAGGAUAUUUACAUCAGAUAGCGUUCAAGUGUAGGUGGCGCGAAAGAAUAAGCGUUUAUGUUGUUACGACGGUAGGAUAAAUCAGAAAGCGAUUUGUGACGACAGUGUACGUUAGGGGUACUAUGUUCGUUCUUCCAAGUCAAGUUCGACAAGGAGGCAUGGAAUUUCAUUUGACGUACUACCAUGUAUGAGUGAUGCCGAGUGAGGUCUCCAGAGGGUGAUUGGUGGAUGUACCCUUGUUUUCUCUUGGCCUAUAGUAGGGGGUUUGUUUUCCCUGUUUUGCAUGAUCCACCGGCUGUCAAUAAAUGGCUGACCCACCCCUACUUCUUGUCUAUGGUUCUAUGGUUUUCCUGACUGAGUACCCAACCCCCAACCCAUACUACCACCCAAGCCCAGUUUACUACAAUGGUGUCAGAAGUGGGAUCACCGGUUUGAGAUUGAUGCAACCCCCUACUACGUCAGAGGACGCCAGCAGGUCAAGAGGAUAAGAAGACGCAAUUAGAUAUAAGAUAUAUUAAGGUUGAAAGGUAAUUUGGUUGAAAUAAUUGAAACAAGUUAAGAAAUAGUAACUAUAUUCUGUAAGAAGUUGUAUUGUUUCAGAAUUGUCAUAGAUUUCUUUCCCCAAAUAAACCAGCAGGAUGCCUGGAGGUAAUGUUGGGACUGGGGCUGGUGCGACCCCUAGCACUAGCCUCGAAGACAUGAUUGCUUCUAUGACUGGCGCGUUUCGAAGUAUGUCUAUGGCUAGGUCAAUGCCCUCGAUGAAGUUGCCUAAGUUUAAGGGUACUCCACAGAAGCCUGGUGAUUUGACUGUACGUGAAUGGUUUGAUGAAUUCGAUGAAUACUGCCAAUAUUACCAGUUAUCGGAGAGAGAGAAAGCACAAGUUCUUGUGACUCAUCUAAGUGGUCCUGCCAAGGAUGAAAUCAUGUGUAGGGAGGCAAGCCUUCGUGAGGAUCCGACCGGCCUGAGAAGGGUUCUGAUGAAUC